rnacentral:misc_RNA from 1 species
GAUGAAGAACGUAGCGAAAUGCGAUAAGUAAUGUGAAUUGCAGAAUUCAGUGAAUCAUCGAAUCUUUGAACGCACCUUGCGCUCCUUGGUAUUCCAAAGAGCAUGCCUGUUUGAGUAUCAUUAAAUUAUCAACUGUACCAAUUUGGUUGCAGAUUGGAUGUGGGAGAUUUUGCAGGCUUUUGAUUUCUCUUUGAGAAAACGGUCAGCUCUCCUGAAAUAUAUUAGCAGUGCCUUUGUUGGUUCAUUAGGUGUGAUAAUUUAUCUACAUCUUCACAUGGUACCUUCAUUUGUGUAAAGGUCAUAUUGCUUCUAAUUGUCUUUGGACAUAAAAAAAAAAAAAAACAUAUAAUUGUAUGGAAAACUUGAUCUCAAAUCAGGCAGGACUACCCGCUGAACUUAAGCAUAUCAAUAAGCGGAGGA